rnacentral:rRNA from 1 species
GACGAACCGUGCGAACGUUGUUCGGAAUCACUGGGCUUAAAGGGCGCGUAGGCGGGCCAUAAAGUCAGGGGUGAAAUCCUCCAGCUUAACUGGAGAACUGCCUUUGAUACUGAUGGUCUCGAGUAAGGUAGGGGCAUGCGGAACUGAUGGUGGAGCGGUGAAAUGUGUUGAUAUCAUCAGGAACUCCGGUGGCGAAGGCGGCGAUCUGGGUAGAUACUGACGCUGAGGUGCGAAAGCGUGGGGAGCAAACAGG